rnacentral:rRNA from 1 species
UACGGGGGGGGCAAGCGUUGUUCGGAAUUACUGGGCGUAAAGGGCGCGUAGGCGGCCACCGCAAGUCGGUUGUGAAAUCUCUGGGCUUAACCCAGAAAGGUCAACCGAUACUGCGGGGCUAGAGUGCAGAAGGGGCAACUGGAAUUCUCGGUGUAGCGGUGAAAUGCGUAGAUAUCGGGAGGAACACCAGUGGCGAAGGCGACUACCUGGCCUGUUUCUUGACGCUGAGGCGCGAAAGCUAGGGGAGCAAACGGG